GUGUGGCUUAAGCUUUUUAUAUUACUGCUCUCAUAAGAGGAUUUCUUUGUUUCUGUUUUUUUUUUGAAGUCACGGUUUUUGACUUUAUGGUGAGAAAUAAGAGGGGUUUAUUUCUGCUUGCCGAAAACCAAACUGGUCUGUAUAUUGUUUUUGUUUUUUUGUUGUUGUUGUUGUUGUUUCAUUUGUAAAUUGUAUACUUUUUCAUGAUGAACAAAAGCUGUUUGCCAUUUUUUUUGUAAUCAGGUUGUUUUUUUGGUUUUGUUUUUACUUUCAUUUGUUAUCUGUAAAUUGUACAUUUUAUGGUACGCAGAAGACAAAAGUCUCUUCAGUUUGCCUGAAGUUGAAGUACUUGACCGAACUCAAGGUUUAUUUUCCUGAUCUCUAGGAUCAAAAUGAAAUUGUUGAAUCAGAUGAGCGUCUGUGUUGUCGUGAUGGAAAUGUGACUUGCUGCUUUAACUCUUGUACCUUGUUUUUCUAUCGAACAUUAGGGCUGUCAUUUUAUGCUGAUCAUAAAUGCUGUCCAAUCCUCUUUUGUUUACUGUACAUGUCUGAGAUGCAACAUGACUUCUACAGCUGUAUGCUUACGAGCUUCAUCCCAGUACUCGCUGGGACUUGAUAGCUCACUAUGUACCUGCCAGUCUUAAAGGGACCACUCUGGCCAUGCUUGGAUAGAAAUUUCUCCUUUUCAUGUCAUCAUGUUGGUUACACAUGUUACAUUAUUUCUAAUAGAAAUGAAAUCCUUCACUAAAAUGUUCUUAGUCUAUUAUGAAAAACAAAAAAAGUAAUCAUAUUUUGGAUUUGUUUUUUUUCCCCCUUCUGACUUUUUACUGCAUUCAUACAUUUUGGUGCUCUCUCUGUAUAGAUCACGUGGAAAUGAAUGACUGCUGAGACUCAGUGGUGCUGUUAACAGCAGUCCUCUGGAUGGUCUGUAUGAGUGCAGUAGGGACAAAUUCACUCACUCCCUCAUCACAACUGAGGCUGUGGUGUCCAGCUGAUGAUCUGUCAGGCUUUUCAAAGACACUUACACAUUCUCAAUCCAUUCUCAGCUGCCCUUCUCUACUAUUCAUUUUUCACUGUUUACUACAACAGCUGACUUGUGUUUAUUGUUACUCGGUGGCCUAAGAGUGUAGGCUGUAGAUUGAAUUGCUGGGUUUGCUGCUGUUGUCAACCUUCAGAGUGAGUAGACUCAGCUCAAAGUCAUGUUUAAUUCUCAGCUUCAUCACAUUUUUGCCUUUUCAAACCAUUGCUGAAUCAAAUGAAGUCCUGGCAUCAUUCUGUGUUUUUUUCCUGCUCGCUUCUGAUUCUUGGAAAUUCAUUAUUUCUUUUUUUUUUCCUCCUUCAAAAUGGAAGUUGCAUAGAACCCACGGAAACGCAAAGCAAAGGAAUUUCAAGUAUAGUGGCUAAAGAAUUUUAAUACUACAAUAACUGAUACAUUUUUAGAGUUUCAGACUUGAAGCGACUGUCACAAGUUUGCAGGUUAACAUUCAUUGUGUAAAUAUUCUGUUAUUUCCUAUUUUGCAGAUUUACUACUUGUAAAUAAACACGCAUCAAGGAGAGAUUAAACAUUUUUUGCUA
ensembl:lncRNA